rnacentral:rRNA from 1 species
UACGGAGGGUGCAAGCGUUAUCCGGAUUCACUGGGUUUAAAGGGUGCGUAGGAGGGCAGGUAAGUCAGUGGUGAAAUCUCCGGGCUUAACCCGGAACUGCCGUUGAUACUACCGGUCUUGAAUACCGUGGAGGUGAGCGGAAUAUGUCAUGUAGCGGUGAAAUGCUUAGAUAUGACAUAGAACACCAAUUGCGAAGGCAGCUCACUACACGGUCAUUGACUCUGAGGCACGAAAGCGUGGGGAUCAAACAGG